GAUAAGAACGUAGCUAAAUGCGAUAAGUAAUGUGAAUUGCAGAAUUCAGUGAAUCAUCGAAUCUUUGAACGCACCUUGCGCCUUUUGGUAUUCCGAAAGGCACACCUGUUUGAGCGUCAUGAAUACCUCAAUCUCCAUCUUUUCUUCGGAUUGAUGGGUGACUUGGAUGUUGAGCCCUGCUGGUAUGCUAUAUCAGCUGGCUUUAAACUUAUUAGCCGGCUCUGUACUGGAUCGGUUUGACUCGACGUGAUAAUAUUAUCGUUGAGGAUGCAUGUCUCAUGCAGCCGGAAAGUAUCAAAGCAGCUUCUAGCUUGCCUUUAGUGCACUUUUACAUUUUAGACCUCAGAUCAGGUGGGACUACCCGCUGAACUUAAGCAUAUCAAUAAGCGGAGGA
rnacentral:misc_RNA from 1 species